UCUCUCUUUCUCUCUUUCUCUCUCUCUCUCUUGAAGGGAGUCUAGUGGCUUUAUAAAUACCCAUGAAGUGAUUCAGUCCAAGCAUCCAUCGCCUCGAACCUUAACUUCUCUCUAACUCGCUUUCUCUCUAUCUAUUUGAUGGAAGACAUUUAAAGAAUGGAAAAAAACGUUGGCUAUCUUCCCAACUUCUUCCCAAUCUUUAAAUGCCUUCCCUCAAUUGACCUAAACUGCAGAAGAAAAAGCAAAGAAAUGGAGAAACACAGAAGCAAAGAUGAAUUUGAUUUUAAAGAGUUCACUCACUACAACAAAAAUAGGUCAAUGCAAGGCAGUUGGUUUACAACAUACAGAGGGAGUCCUUCACCACUUGCGAAUUGCUUGGUGAAUGUUCUUCCAACUUCUGAUCUCAGCCUUGGGAAGAGGAAGGAUUUCUGUACAGACGAAGAUGGAUUUGAGGUUCGAAAACGAACGUUUGAACUCUGAAAACCAUUCCCACCGAUAGAUUUGAAGAAAAAGGGAGCAUUUGCCAUAAUAAUAACAGGGUAUGGUCGAUCAUCCCUAGCAACUUGCAGUUUCCGAUCUCCAUAUGCUGUUUCUAUAUCCCACCGAUGGAUUUGAAGAAGACGGUGACCAUCUGACCUAAUAGCAACUAGAUUUUCUGUGGAAGUGCAGGGUUCUAGUUUUUAAUCUGUUGUGACAAUACAAUAGGAUUUUGGAAAAUAUCAGCAGUAUCAAGUAAUUGUAUUACUACAGAGAACUUCCAGUAUUUAUUCUCAGGUAGGCAUUUUGCACUGUUCUGUUUCCUUGUUUCUCCUGUUAAAAACUGAGCUAUUGGCUGACCUUGUUUUAAUUUUUUCUGCCUGAAAGUUUGUUGUGGCUUUCUAUCAACUAUUUUGAUGUUCAAUUGUCAGGAUUUUGUUAAGGUAAUCUGUUUGCAUGAAACAGAUGAACUCAUGAAAGUCAUGAGGGUGCACAUAGCCUUGUGAAACAGAACUUUCUGGAUACCUUAUAGUGGCUUCAAUUAUUUAAUGGUGCCUCACUAAUCACAACCUUUUCAGAUUCUUAGUGGGAACCAAAUCAAGUAUUGAGAGUAAGAACCAAAACAGAGUGGCAGAGCAAAUGGAGUUUGUAUCAAUCAACUCUCUUCUAGUAUUGAAAGUAAGAACCAAAUCAGAUAUAUUAUUUUAAAUAAUAUAGUUUUUAUACCCUUUUAUAUAUUGUCAAUGCUAUUACACUGGCUGUUCAUUGCUACACAACUGUCAACAAUGAGUAGCAUACAUGCUGGAACUUCUGAUCCAAAGUUGACACAAGACAACGCCCAUUUUGAGAGAGGGAGGUUAAUAAAUUACAUGGGGAGUCUUUAAAACAUAACUGGUGUGACACUCUAUUCUAGAUGGGUUCAGGUUAGUCACUGACAUGGGGAGCCUUUAAACAUAACUGGUAGGAAACUCUAUUGUAGAUUCUAACUGAUUGAUCCUUAUUUCCUGUCAUCCUAGUGGUUUUGGAAUACUUGUCAGUUAAACCAUCAAAUUGAGGCCGAAAGGAAAGGCGACAGCUCUAAGUGAAGAAGAAGAAACACGAAAUUAAGCAAGCCAUUGGGUUCUCUGUUAAUCUACUUCUACAACAGUCCAACAACCUUUAUUCAUCCUUUUAACCGCCCAAUGAAUUUUCUAGCAAGAAUAUUGAUUAUUAAGCAAGGGCAAAAAGAAAAGGGAUGGGAGAAGAAGACAACUUGCAACCAUUGGAUCAUUACAACCUCUGGCGUAAUGAAAGCUUAUUAUUGCUGAUGACAAUAUGGCAGAUGUCUUUAACUAAUAAAGCUACCAUGUAACAUUUGUAAAGUUUUCCUUCUAUUAUUCCAAAAAUAUGAAAAAAUAUGAGAUUUGA